UACGACCGAACGAAUACUGAA
rnacentral:piRNA from 1 species